rnacentral:lncRNA from 1 species
GCCGCUUGCGCCCUCGCUUGCAAAGGUCUCCUUCACCCUGGGCAGGUUUUUGUAACAGGCUCGUCUGUGUGAUAUACACGACAGGAUCGCAGCCUGCCUUUCUUUUCCGAAAUUAAUCCCUCUCGUAGAGGCACACAUCUAUUUUCAACCCGGCUUGCUCGGGUGACAUCAGACUGAGUCACCCUCAGUGACUGGAGGACGGGCCGGAGCUUUUGCAAGGAGAUUGCAGAUGAAACUGCCAAGGGCAACAGGGUCACAAGCGAAAUAGCGCUUGCAAAAUCCUCGGCUUCUAUUUUCAGGCUCCUUUUCCCUGUUUCGUUUCCUCCCGUUUUGCCGACUUACCUUCCUCGCUCCACGGGCGUUUUUCAGAAAAGGCUGCGCGCCAGGCAGGGGAGAAGCAGGAAGCCCGGGGGGGGCGUACGUCCGGCCGCCCCCCGCGCUGAGCGCGGCCGAGCCCAGCUCCCCGCGGGGCCGAAGGCAGGGGAGAAAGCGGCAAGGGAAUGAGGCCCUGCAGGACUGCUGAGGUGCAGGUGUGUGAAGCAGAGACAUCAAAGUGGAUCAUGGCAGCUUUCCUCUUCAUGCUGCAUCUCCUCUUCCUUGGGACUCUAAUUGUCCCAGCAUAUUUGCAGAUGGAAAGAUGUAAUUUGCUCCCGAACGCGACGGCAAGCAAUUUCUCCAUAUCCGUGAUACCUUCGACCUACAUGGCAAACACAACUUACGAAGUUAAAAUAAACAGCAGCAGAAGUGCAACUGCAGUUUUACUGCAAGCCUUAUCCUCCUCAAACAGCUCUGUGGGAGAAUGGAAGGACCUAAGCCAGGAAAACUGCAGUAAUAUUGCUACAGCAGUAAUGACUAGCACUAACACAACAGCAAAUUGGACAUCCCCAAGCAGUAACAUCACUUCUGUGGAAAUAAGAGGGGAACACAACCACACCAUCACCAUCACCAUCCACCACCCCCAACUCCAUCUCCGCGGUUCAGAGCAGCACCGUCUUCAUAGCCAUCGCACAAGCGCUGCUGCUCUUUGUCACAAGCAAACUGCUCUCCUAGAAGUCGGGGAGAGGAGACGACCCAGCUGUGCUGCAGCUUUCCUCCUCGCCUUCAGCGCUUGCGGGAGGGCAGGCGGCUGA